GACAAGCAACAAGACAAGCAACAAGACAAGCAACAAGACAAGCAACAAGACAAGCAACAAGACAAGCAACAAGACAAGCAACAAGACAAGCAACAACAAGACAAGCAACAACAAGACAAGCAACAACAAGACAAGCAACAAGACAAGCAACAAGACAAGCAACAAGACAAGCAACAAGACAAGCAACAACAAGACAAGCAACAACAACAACACAAGCAAAAA